rnacentral:rRNA from 1 species
UACGUAGGGGGCAAGCGUUGUCCGGAUUUAUUGGGCGUAAAGAGCGUGUAGGCGGCCAGGUAGGUCAGCUGUGAAAACUCGAGGCUCAACCUCGAGACGUCGGUUGAAACCACCUGGCUAGAGUCCGGAAGAGGAGAGUGGAAUUCCUGGUGUAGCGGUGAAAUGCGCAGAUAUCAGGAAGAACACCCGUGGCGAAGGCUGCUCUCUGGGACGGUACUUACGCUGAGACGCGAAAGCGUGGGGAGCGAACAGG